rnacentral:rRNA from 1 species
GAUGAACGCUAGCUACAGGCUUAACACAUGCAAGUCGAGGGGAAACGACAUCGAAAGCUUGCUUUUGAUGGGCGUCGACCGGCGCACGGGUGAGUAACGCGUAUCCAACCUGCCCAUCACUUGGGAAUAACCUUGCGAAAGUAAGACUAAUACCCAAUGACAUCCCACGAAGACAUCUGAAUGGGAUUAAAGAUUUAUCGGUGAUGGAUGGGGAUGCGUCUGAUUAGCUUGUUGGCGGGGUAACGGCCCACCAAGGCAACGAUCAGUAGGGGUUCUGAGAGGAAGGUCCCCCACAUUGGAACUGAGACACGGGCCAAACUCCUACGGGAGGCAGCAGUGAGGAAUAUUGGUCAAUGGGCGAGAGCCUGAACCAGCCAAGUAGCGUGCAGGAUGACGGCCCUAUGGGUUGUAAACUGCUUUUAUAAGGGAAUAAAGUGGGUCUCGUGAGACUUUUUGCAUGUACCUUAUGAAUAAGGACCGGCUAAUUCCGUG